CCUANGGGAGGCUGCAGUAGGGAAUAUUGGUCAAUGGAUGCAAGUCUGAACCAGCCAUGCCGCGUGCAGGAAGAAGGCCUUCUGGGUUGUAAACUGCUUUUGCCAGGGGAUAAAAUUUCCUUGCGAGGAAAAUUGAAGGUACCUGGUGAAUAAGCCACGGCUAACUACGUGCCAGCAGCCGCGGUAAUACGUAGGUGGCAAGCGUUGUCCGGAUUUAUUGGGUUUAAAGGGUGCGUAGGCGGUUUUGUAAGUCAGUGGUGAAAUAUAGCAGCUUAACUGUUAGGGUGCCAUUGAUACUGCAGAACUUGAGUACAGAUGAGGUAGGCGGAAUUGACGGUGUAGCGGUGAAAUGCUUAGAUAUCGUCAAGAACACCUAUAGCGAAGGCAGCUUACUAGGCUGUAACUGACGCUGAGGCACGAAAGUGUGGGGAUCAAACAGGAUUAGAUACCCUGNUANUC
rnacentral:rRNA from 1 species